CCGUGGGCUGGAAAUUGUAAACUGGCGCCAGCAUUGUCUGCUGUGCCCCCUGGCAAUGUGACUCUGGGCACAGUGAAAUAACAUUUACCUCCUUGGGGUAAGAGUGGGAAGGCAGUGGGCAGAGUGUGAGCAAUUACCUGAUACUCGGGUGGGUGAUGUAGCUCAAGAUUUUGAGGACAGUGGUACCUUUCCUAACCUGGCAUCUGUUGUGCUGCUGCUGAAGGUCCUGGCCAGGCAAUUUUUCCCUGCCUCAUUUGUAGGACUGAGGUAGGCGAGGAGUGACGUAUUGGGGGAGGAGAGGCAGGGUGGUAGCAGAGAUGCGCUGUAGGUCGUAGAACUAGGUGUUGCAAAGUGAUCUUUAUCCUUACAGUGGCCUUCCAAAGUGGUGCCUGGCUGCUUUUGCGAUGCAGAAGGUUAAAGAGCUCGCUGUGGCCAGAGGCCAGGUGUGGGUGGCAAGCUUUGCUAUGCCAAGGAUUGAAGUCCACAGGAGCCAGAGGUUUGGCGAGCUGGAGGCUGUGGCUGCUCUCAGGCAGGGGACUGAAACAGAGCUGUGCUUCCUUUUCACACAGGGGAAAUUUGGGCUUACCUGCACACCGGAGGUGACAGCAACAAAAAGAAAAAAGAAAAAAAAAAAAAAGAAGGCACAGAACAACAGCGGGGGAAGAGGGUUCAGCAGAGCUGUUGUUGUUCAGUUCCUUUCUAACUUCCCCUUAGUGAAGGUAGAUUUUGUGGUGCUGUUGAGGUUGGCUGUUUCUCCUCGUCUAUUCCUAGCAAGGACAUCCCUCCCUGCCAGGAUCUGCAGUGUCCUGACAGGGCAAGGGGCAACCACAGCUUGCUUGGCAGGUGGCAGAGUUCAAAACUGGCUACAUCCUGAAAAGAAGGGAAGGCAACGGAGCACGUGGUGCUGUGUAUGGGGAAAGGAGGCUGGCUGGAAGAGGCAGAGGUUAAGAAUGCAGCCCAGGGAACAGCAGGGGGAAUGCUAAAAUGUUUGUCCUGCACUCUGUAAACAUAGCAGAUAUGCCCAGAUUUCAAACCCAGUUUAGCAACGCUCAUAUACACAGUUUCACGGACAGCUUCUUUCUUUCUGCAUCGCCUGCAGGGACAGUAACGUUGACACUGAGCGGCAAACAGUGGGAGCUGUUCCAGUAUCAAUAAGGACUUGGACGAGGGAGCAAGUUUGCUUGUCUGCAAAGGCCUUGGAAACCAUCUUACAGAGACAACCAGCUGCUUGCGCGGCUAGCUGGGGAUGGUGGUGCUGAGCCAGGAGAUAGUAAACCUCUGGGAUGUUGCAGCUUUGCUUUGCUGUCAGGGAGGAAGCAAGAACAUGUGCUGUUCUCUUCAGUCUUCAGGAGCGGGCACUUUCCAGCCUGGCACUGCUCCGGGCAGAGCAUCGCUCCCAACUGGCACGAGAGGUCUGGGGCUGUCGGCGUGUCAAGAAAGAUCCUUCUAAAAGCCCUGAGCGUGCAGCAUGAAUUCCCACCUUUGUUUUCGAGGCAACAGCUCUCAGCACCACCAGAAGAGCGAAAGGUUUGUAUUGUGAGUCAGCAGACCAUCUGCAAUCAAGUUCAGGACUCGUUUUUUUCUGUAAUUAAGCACGAAAUGGGCUUAAAGCUACCUUUGGCCAGGCUGGGGCUGAUGUGGCUUCCAGAGUAGAUCACACCAUCCACGAAAUCUCUCUGUGCAGCCAGAUUAAGAUCCAUAGAGGAGAUCAGGAUUGUGCAUUCUCUCUGUGUUGCUGUGGCAGAAGAGCCUGAGCUGUCACAGCGCGCCCUGUGCCCAAGGUAAAGCUGAGAUGGUCUCCUGCUCUUUGGCUCCGUGUUUUAUUUGCCACUUGUGAGGGUGCCUUACCCCCGUCGAUAUUCUAGGCAAUACCAUGAGCUCCACGGGUAGAUGAGAUUUAGAUAAAAUGGGGGAAAUCUAUGCUAUGAUCUAAUCAGGCACGAGCAGCUGGGAGGGCAGUUGACUCUGGAUUUCCCCACUUCGAUAGAUCAGUCUAGUUUGCAGAUUCCCAUGAUGGCUCAAUCCUGCAAUGUUCUCAGUCUUCUAGUCCUACUUCAGCAAAAUGAUUAGGUCUAUUUAUAAGCCUAGGACUGGAUCUACUGAAACCAGUAGUAGAAACAAUGUCAGGCUCUUAUUGCCAUGUUUAGGUACCCAACUAUAUGGUCUAAAUUCUCAGAGCUGCUGAUCCCACCAAAGAUCCCACUGGGCCCUUGCCAAAGUGCUUCUGGGAUCGAGGUGUGGGAUCCUCAGCAGCCAUCAGCAUGGAGCCCUGCAACAGGAAAACCUCUAACGUGCUGUGAAAUCCUCGGCUGGUUGGUGGAUGAGUUACCGGAGCAUGUGAGAAGGCUCCAGGAUAUGCCUGGUCUUUUGGUCUUGCUCAGCUGUGGGGAGUUGUCUGGUAGAUGUGAGAUCCGUAGAGCCGUGGUGGAAGGAAGGAGGACCUGAGCAGGGAGAAGUGGAAGUUCCACCAGUGUGUGGCUGUAUUUUACUUCUUGUGGUGACAUGUCCCUUCUUUCCUUCUGGUAACGUUUGUGAAAUGACUGUGGAAAGCCUCGGCUGAGGCCCCGUAGGCAAGCAUCGGUGUUUUGGAAACUGGCACUCAAACGCUGCAUUGGUGCGUGAGCUGGCGAGAGGCAGCGCAGGGUGAAAGCCGCCCUCGCAGCUGCCCCUGCUGUGUUGGGGACCGUGAAACUCAAAUUUGUGCUUGCUCACAGCCGUGCAAGUGCUGUCUCUGAUGUGCUGCCACCUUAGUCUCUCUUAUGAUGUCUGGGUGUAACUUCCAGUGCUUAUUCCUCUAAAGGGGAGUAAUUGUUCUUUUUUUGUUUUCUUCUUUAUCUGUGCAGUAGUAGUACCUUGCUGUCAGCUUAAAGAAAGGUAUGGUCUUGUCCCAGAGAAGAGCAGGAGGCAAUAAAUAAAAACAGUGGUGUCGUGGAGAGGAAGGGGCAAAAGUUGUGCAAAGAAAAACCAUGUAGAGGAGCUCAGGGUUCCCUCUGUGCUCCUUGUACUGGGAACCAGUGUGAGACGUAGCAGUUCAGCAUGGAGCUCGUCCUGUACAGCAGAGGCCAGGUGAGGCGAAGGUGUGCUUUAAGUAAGUGUGAAAAUGCCUUGCUGAAGAGGGAGGAACUAGAGGUGUGUUCACCUGCAGCUAGAACUCGUGAAUGCUUUCUGUGGAGGAGCAGAGCGUCUGGCUGGAAUUUGAAGAGAUUAUUGCAAUAAAGAUAUAUCGCAUCAGCUGGAGCCUUUAUCAACAAGUUGCCAAGUGCUUGUCAGAGUGCACAAAUAUUGUUAUCACUGCUUUAUUAAAGGAUAAAUGAGACGAGAGAUGGGAAGGCUGAAGUAUUUGAGAAGCACCUAACUUUUAUGGUGCCUCGAUGGAAGGGCAUUGGUCGUAUGCCCUAGGAACAUAACUGAAGCAUGAAUGAACUAGUGUUUGAUAUAGCAGAGUAUCAGUUGUCCUAAUCUGCCCUGUUAGCCGUAGUUAAACCCACCUUCUGCCUGGUAAAUCUAAAAAAUGUGAU